rnacentral:lncRNA from 1 species
AACAACCGCAGCUAAAACCAAAAACAUACAUGUCACCGUUUUGAAAACUCCGUCCAUCUUUGUGUUGUGUUGAAAAACUCAGGUCACCCCUUUUUUUUUCUUUUUUCUUGGUCGAUAACUUGAUAAACGUUGUCUUAAAAAAUAAGUAUUUACGACCCUUUUCGAUUUUUGUGUUUGUUAUGGUUCAGAAAGUCUCAAAGGAGAGAGUUAUUUAUAAGGAGAAAGAGAGGUUUUCAAGGGGUCAUUAACGCAAGAUAUGCGAAGACGCGUAUACGUGUUUGGUAGUUGUUGAAUAAAUUCAUAUUGGAUAUUAUCACCACCACCUUUGGUCAAUAUUUGCCUGCUUAGUUUCUCUUUUUUUCCAGACAAUUUGUUUGUUAUUUUUAGCGCGUAAAGUAUUGUCCAUCCC